rnacentral:rRNA from 1 species
CACUAUCGUUAACUGAAUACAUAGGUUAACGAGGCGAACCGGGGGAACUGAAACAUCUAAGUACCCCGAGGAAAAGAAAUCAACCGAGAUUCCCCCAGUAGCGGCGAGCGAACGGGGAGCAGCCCAGAGUCUGAAUCAGCUUGUGUGUUAGUGGAACGGUCUGGAAAGUCCGACGGUACAGGGUGAUAGUCCCGUACACCAAAAUGCACAGGCUGUGAACUCGAAGAGUAGGGCGGGACACGUGGUAUCCUGUCUGAAUAUGGGGGGACCAUCCUCCAAGGCUAAAUACUCCUGACUGACCGAUAGUGAACCAGUACCGUGAGGGAAAGGCGAAAAGAACCCCGGCGAGGGGAGUGAAAAAGAACCUGAAACCGUGUACGUACAAGCAGUGGGAGCACCUUCGGGUGUGACUGCGUACCUUUUGUAUAAUGGGUCAGCGACUUAUAUUCUGUAGCAAGGUUAACCGUAUAGGGGAGCCGCAGGGAAACCGAGUCUUAACUGGGCGUUAAGUUGCAGGGUAUAGACCCGAAACCCGGUGAUCUAGCCAUGGGCAGGUUGAAGGUUGGGUAACACUAACUGGAGGACCGAACCGACUAAUGUUGAAAAAUUAGCGGAUGACUUGUGGCUGGGGGUGAAAGGCCAAUCAAACCGGGAGAUAGCUGGUUCUCCCCGAAAGCUAUUUAGGUAGCGCCUCGUGAAUUCAUCUUCGGGGGUAGAGCACUGUUUCGGCUAGGGGGUCAUCCCGACUUACCAACCCGAUGCAAACUACGAAUACCGAAGAAUGUUAUCACGGGAGACACACGGCGGGUGCUAACGUCCGUCGUGAAGAGGGAAACAACCCAGACCGCCAGCUAAGGUCCCAAAGUCAUGGUUAAGUGGGAAACGAUGUGGGAAGGCACAGACAGCCAGGAUGUUGGCUUAGAAGCAGCCAUCAUUUAAAGAAAGCGUAAUAGCUCACUGGUCGAGUCGGCCUGCGCGGAAGAUGUAACGGGGCUAAACCAUGCACCGAAGCUGCGGCAGCGACACUAUGUGUUGUUGGGUAGGGGAGCGUUCUGUAAGCCUGCGAAGGUGUGCUGUGAGGCAUGCUGGAGGUAUCAGAAGUGCGAAUGCUGACAUAAGUAACGAUAAAGCGGGUGAAAAGCCCGCUCGCCGGAAGACCAAGGGUUCCUGUCCAACGUUAAUCGGGGCAGGGUGAGUCGACCCCUAAGGCGAGGCCGAAAGGCGUAGUCGAUGGGAAACAGGUUAAUAUUCCUGUACUUGGUGUUACUGCGAAGGGGGGACGGAGAAGGCUAUGUUAGCCGGGCGACGGUUGUCCCGGUUUAAGCAUGUAGGCUGGUUGUCCAGGCAAAUCCGGAUAAUCAAGGCUGAGGUGUGAUGACGAGGCACUACGGUGCUGAAGUAACAAAUGCCCUGCUUCCAGGAAAAGCCUCUAAGCAUCAGGUAACAUUAAAUCGUACCCCAAACCGACACAGGUGGUCAGGUAGAGAAUACCAAGGCGCUUGAGAGAACUCGGGUGAAGGAACUAGGCAAAAUGGUGCCGUAACUUCGGGAGAAGGCACGCUGGUGUGUAGGUGAAGUCCCUGCGGAUGGAGCUGAGACCAGUCGAAGAUACCAGCUGGCUGCAACUGUUUAUUAAAAACACAGCACUGUGCAAACACGAAAGUGGACGUAUACGGUGUGACGCCUGCCCGGUGCCGGAAGGUUAAUUGAUGGGGUUAUCCGUAAGGAGAAGCUCUUGAUCGAAGCCCCGGUAAACGGCGGCCGUAACUAUAACGGUCCUAAGGUAGCGAAAUUCCUUGUCGGGUAAGUUCCGACCUGCACGAAUGGCGUAAUGAUGGCCAGGCUGUCUCCACCCGAGACUCAGUGAAAUUGAACUCGCUGUGAAGAUGCAGUGUACCCGCGGCAAGACGGAAAGACCCCGUGAACCUUUACUAUAGCUUGACACUGAACAUUGAGCCUUGAUGUGUAGGAUAGGUGGGAGGCUUUGAAGCGUGGACGCCAGUCUGCGUGGAGCCAACCUUGAAAUACCACCCUUUAAUGUUUGAUGUUCUAACGUUGGCCCCUGACCGGGGUUGCGGACAGUGUCUGGUGGGUAGUUUGACUGGGGCGGUCUCCUCCCAAAGCGUAACGGAGGAGCACGAAGGUUAGCUAAUCCUGGUCGGACAUCAGGAGGUUAGUGCAAUGGCAUAAGCUAGCUUGACUGCGAGCGUGACGGCGCGAGCAGGUGCGAAAGCAGGUCAUAGUGAUCCGGUGGUUCUGAAUGGAAGGGCCAUCGCUCAACGGAUAAAAGGUACUCCGGGGAUAACAGGCUGAUACCGCCCAAGAGUUCAUAUCGACGGCGGUGUUUGGCACCUCGAUGUCGGCUCAUCACAUCCUGGGGCUGAAGUAGGUCCCAAGGGUAUGGCUGUUCGCCAUUUAAAGUGGUACGCGAGCUGGGUUUAGAACGUCGUGAGACAGUUCGGUCCCUAUCUGCCGUGGGCGCUGGAGAAUUGAGGGGGGCUGCUCCUAGUACGAGAGGACCGGAGUGGACGCAUCACUGGUGUUCGGGUUGUCAUGCCAAUGGCACUGCCCGGUAGCUAAAUGCGGAAGAGAUAAGUGCUGAAAGCAUCUAAGCACGAAACUUGCCCCGAGAUGAGUUCUCCCUGAGACUUUAAGUCUCCUGAAGGAACGUUGAAGACGACGACGUUGAUAGGCCGGGUGUGUAAGCGCAGCGAUGCGUUGAGCUAACCGGUACUAAUGAACCGUGAGGCUUAACCUU